rnacentral:lncRNA from 1 species
ACAAAUUUAAGGGUCCAGCCCUAGGGAGGCCAACCAUCCCCUUCGAGCAACUGCACGGGGUGGUGGGCCCAGCCCCUGCAACAGUGUUGGAAACGUGCGUGCGUGGCCUGCGCCAUCAAGGCGCGACAAGACGUGAUGGGGUAGCUGCCAGGUGGCACCUCGGCUCCCGUGCAGCGACCCCUCAACUGCUCCGCCCCAGUGACUAGUCCAAGCCCACGCUAUAGGCUAG